AACGGUCUAUACCUGCGGUACCUGCGGAAGGAUCAUUACCGAGUUUACAACUCCCAAACCCAUGUGAACAUACCUAUUGUUGCUUCGGCGGGAUUGCCCCGGGCGCCUCGUGUGCCCCGGAUCAGGCGCCCGCCUAGGAAACUUAACUCUUGUUUUAUUUUGGAAUCUUCUGAGUAGUUUUUACAAAUAAAUAAAAACUUUCAACAACGGAUCUCU
rnacentral:misc_RNA from 1 species